rnacentral:rRNA from 1 species
GACGUAGGGCGCGAGCGUUGUCCGGAUUUAUUGGGCGUAAAGAGCUCGUAGGCGGCUUGUUGCGUCGUCGUGAAAACCCGCGACUCAACUGUGGGCUUGCGUGAUACGGGCAGGCUUGAGUUCGGUAGGGGAGACUGGAAUUCCUGGUGUAGCGGUGGAAAUGCGCAGAUAUCAGGAGGAACACCGGUGGCGAAGGCGGGGUCUCUGG